rnacentral:rRNA from 1 species
CAGAGUUGAUCAUGGCUCAGAAUAAGCUGCGGAGGCCUAACACAUGCAAAGUCAAGCGCAGCACGGGUACUUGUACCUGGUGCGAGCGGCGGACGGGUGAGUAAUGCCUAGGAAUCCUCCCUGGUAGUGGGGGAUAACGCUCGGAAACGGCGCUAAUACCGCAUACGUCUACGGGAGAAAGCAGGGGUACUUCGGGCUUGCGCUAUCAGAUGAGCCUAGGUCGGAUUAGCUAGUUGGUGAGGUAAUGGCUCACCAAGGCGACGAUCCGUAACUGGUCUGAGAGGAUGAUCAGUCACACUGGAACUGAGACACGGUCCACCCCCGACGGGAGGCAGCAGUGGGGAAUAUUGGACAAUGGCGAAAGCCUGAUCCAAGCAUGCCGCGUGUGUGAAGAAGGUCUUCGGAUUGUAAAGCACUUUAAGUUGGGAGGAAGGGCAUUAACCUAAUCGUUGGUGCUUGCGUACCGACAGAAAUAACC